AGUUGUCGAUCUGGGAUAUGUUUUGUCUUGAAAACAAACCACAAGUGUUCGAUUCACUUGACAACUU
rnacentral:tRNA from 1 species